rnacentral:rRNA from 1 species
AUUGAACGCUGGCGGCAUGCCUUACACAUGCAAGUCGAACGGUAACAGGUCUUCGGAUGCUGACGAGUGGCGAACGGGUGAGUAAUACAUCGGAACGUGCCUAGUAGUGGGGGAUAACUACUCGAAAGAGUGGCUAAUACCGCAUGAGAUCUACGGAUGAAAGCAGGGGAUCGCAAGACCUUGUGCUACUAGAGCGGCCGAUGGCAGAUUAGGUAGUUGGUGGGAUAAAAGCUUCCCAAGCCGACGAUCUGUAGCUGGUCUGAGAGGACGAUCAGCUACACUGGGACUGAGACACGGCCCAGACUCCUACGGGAGGCAGCAGUGGGGAAUUUUGGACAAUGGGCGCAAGCCUGAUCCAGCAAUGCCGCGUGCAGGAUGAAGGCCUUCGGGUUGUAAACUGCUUUUGUACGGAACGAAAAGCCCCGGGUUAAUACCCUGGGGUCAUGACGGUACCGUAAGAAUAAGCACCGGCUAACUACGUGCCAGCAGCCGCCGUAA